rnacentral:lncRNA from 1 species
GAACAAUAUUUUCCAUUAGAAUACGUGGACACGCCAAAUGACACUCGAAACGUUCUCCUGGUAGUUGCUACAGUGAUCGCCGCCGUAACGUUCCAGUCCGGAGUGAAUCCGCCCGGCGGAGUUUGGCAGGACGAUACGAAUGGACAUAACCAGGAACGGCAAUAUACGCGAGCCAAAAUGGAGCAUUUCAUGUCUUUUUAACUUCGAAAACUUUGGCCCUUUCUUCAUCAAUUCUUAUACUCAUGUCCCUGACAUACAAAUUCCCUUUUUAUCUUGAAUUGUGGGCUGCAAGUCUGGGAAUGUUUGCGACAUAUGCAUCUGCAGUUUUUGCCAUUUCACCUGAUGAUCAGUGAGAUUUGGUGCUCUUUUUGGCGCUGCUGCUGUGCCUUUCGUGUUUAGGUUUCUGAUUCAGAUUUAUAAAAGGUUCAAAAGUAAGACAUAAUGAGUUAGAAAAG